GGAUGAUGCAGAAGCUUGAUGCCAUGCAGCAGUUGGAACGUGAGCUUGAGGUCAUCUGUGGCUUUGAUUAUCGGGAAGUUAUGUUACUCCUCGUGAAGAACUACGUUUGGAGGAUCAAGCAGGCAAAGAUGCCAAAGAGAAAUCUGAUGCUGCUACCGAAGCACUUUUUGCGGAGCUUGAGCUUGAAGCCAAAAGCAAUGUCAACAAAGGAGUAGGUGAUGAUUCAAAACAGAUACAGGCAAAGUCAAAGAAAAAAAAGAAGAAGAAGGAUUAUAGAAGAGCUAAGAAUCCAGAGGGCGUUGGUCGUGACAAAGAGACUGUCAUUCAUCAGGAAACUGAAGACAAA